rnacentral:rRNA from 1 species
UCCAGACUCCUACGGGAGGCAGCAGUGGGGAAUAUUGCACAAUGGGGGAAACCCUGAUGCAGCGACGCCGCGUGAGCGAUGAAGUAUUUCGGUAUGUAAAGCUCUAUCAGCAGGGAAGAAAAUGACGGUACCUGACUAAGAAGCCCCGGCUAACUACGUGCCAGCAGCCGCGGUAAUACGUAGGGGGCAACCGUUAUCCGGAUUUACUGGGUGUAAAGGGAGCGUAGACGGCGUGCCAAGUCUGAUGUGAAAGGCCGGGGCUCAACCCCGGGACUGCAUUGGAAACUGGCAUGCUGGAGUGCCGGAGGGGCAAGCGGAAUUCCUAGUGUAGCGGUGAAAUGCGUAGAUAUUAGGAGGAACACCGGUGGCGAAGGCGGCUUGCUGGACGGUAACUGACGUUGAGGCUCGAAAGCGUGGGGAGCAAACAGGAUUAGAUACCCCAGUA